rnacentral:rRNA from 1 species
GAUGAACGCUGGCGGCGUGCCUAAUACAUGCCAGUCGAGCGAACAGACGAGGAGCUCGCUCCUCUGACGUUAGCGGCGGACGGGUGAGUAACACGUGGAUAACCUACCUAUAUGACUGAGAUAACUUCGGGAAACCGGAGCUACUACCGGAUAAUAUAUUGAACCGCAUGGUUCAAUAGUGAAAGAUGGUUUUGCUGUCAAUUAUAGAUGGAUCCGCUCCGCAUUAGCGAGUUGGUAAGGUAACGGCUUACCAAGGCGACGAUGCGUAGCCGACAUGAGAGGGUGAUCGGCCACACUGGAACGGAGCCACGGUCCAGACUCCUACGGGAGGCAGCAGUAGGGAAUCUUCCGCAAUGGGCGAAAGCCUGGCGGAGCAACGCCGAGUGAGUGAUAAAGGUCUUCGGAUCGUAAAACUCUGUUAUUGGGGAAAAACAAAUGUGUAAGGAACUAUACACGACUUGACGGUACCUAAUCAGAAAGCCACGGCUAACUACGUG